UCCCACUGGCCAACUGCCCCCUGCUCUCAGACUCAAACUGCCACCCAAGAGUGGGCACAAGUCUACAGUGGGCGAUGUCUUGGUAGGGGGCGUUCUGAGUGGGCAAGUGGAGAGCAGCGGGCAGGGGGUGCACAGGACAGAUGGAGCCUGCUGAGUCCCUUUGUGGGACCUCCUUACCUACUCUGGGAUGAGCACAAGAUCAUACCACAUCAAACCCAACUGCUAUGCUAUCGUGGAAGAGACUUACUGAUUUGUCCAGAGGCUUUGUAUUUAAUGGGGGAAGACUGUGUGAGGGAGAUAAAGGUGAGAAAUUUCUCCUCGUCCAGCAUCCCUGGCUACAGCUGUGGAGCCUCCAGCAUUCCAUCCUCUUUCCAGAUUUUCCAGGCUCAGAAAGAGGAGAAACCUGCUAAGGAGACACAGCUGGGGCACGGCAGAGUUGGGAUUUGAACAGUGGAGGCAUAGGACACACAGUCGUGAGCAUGACGAGGCCCCGCCUCGGGAACUGGACACUCUCAGCGGGCGGGGAGAGGCAGGCAAUGAACAAGGAGGUUCACUCUGCACUCUGUCAGGUGGCCUCUGAGAAAGAACAGUAGGUGGAAGGUGGCAUAUAGGGCCUGCAAAGCA